ACAUACGACCAUAGGGUGUGGAAAGCAGGGCUUCCCGUCCGCUCAGCCGUACUUAAGCCACACGCCGGGAGGUUAGUAGUUGGGUAGAUAAUUAUCAGCGAAUCCCUUCUAUGAUAUAUU
rfam:Aspergillus luchuensis DNA, map: 8-3 F, contig: AA1_SCon_025, strain: RIB 2604.